rnacentral:lncRNA from 1 species
GGUAUAAGCCUAAGUUUUUGUUGAUUAAUUCUUUGUUAAGAACCAACUAUUUACUUGAUAUCUAUUUUUCUCUCUCUAUAUAUAUAUAUGUUAAAUUUUUGCAGUAGCAACACCUUUCAAAACAGAGAUCAUCCAAGAGCAACAUCAUAUUGGAACCAAGGCACUCUUCUCGUUUGAGUCAUCAAUCAAAUAGUUAUAUGGAGAAUGAUGAGUCUCACUCAGAACAUCGCAACAAUAGUGAUAUUGUUUUUUAUGAUGAUGAAUCUCCAAGUGUUGAGGU